rnacentral:rRNA from 1 species
UAAUACAUGCAAGUCGAACGCGUCUCCGUUAAUGAUUUUAGGUGCUUGCACUUGAAAGAUUUAACAUUGAGACGAGUGGCGAACUGGUGAGUAACACGUGGGUAACCUGCCCUUGAAGUAGGGGAUAACACUUGGAAACAGGUGCUAAUACCGUAUAACAACCAAAACCACCUGGUUUUGGUUUAAAAGACGGCUUCGGCUGUCACUUUAGGAUGGACCCGCGGCGUAUUAGCUUGUUGGUAAGGUAACGGCUUACCAAGGCGAUGAUACGUAGCCGACCUGAGAGGGUAAUCGGCCACAUUGGGACUGAGACACGGCCCAAACUCCUACGGGAGGCAGCAGUAGGGAAUCUUCCACAAUGGACGAAAGUCUGAUGGAGCAACGCCGCGUGAGUGAUGAAGGGUUUCGGCUCGUAAAACUCUGUUGUUGGAGAAGAACAGGUGUCAGAGUAACUGUUGACAUCUUGACGGUAUCCAACCAGAAAGCCACGGCUAACUACGUGCCAGCAGCCGCGGUAAUACGUAGGUGGCAAGCGUUGUCCGGAUUUAUUGGGCGUAAAGCGAGCGCAGGCGGUUUUUUAGGUCUGAUGUGAAAGCCUUCGGCUUAACCGGAGAAGUGCAUCGGAAACCGGGAGACUUGAGUGCAGAAGAGGACAGUGGAACUCCAUGUGUAGCGGUGAAAUGCGUAGAUAUAUGGAAGAACACCA